rnacentral:rRNA from 1 species
UACGUAGGGUGCAAGCGUUAAUCGGAAUUACUGGGCGUAAAGCGUGCGCAGGCGGUUUUGUAAGUCUGAUGUGAAAUCCCCGGGCUCAACCUGGGAACUGCAUUGGAGACUGCAAGGCUAGAGUGUGUCAGAGGGGGGUAGAAUUCCACGUGUAGCAGUGAAAUGCGUAGAGAUGUGGAGGAAUACCGAUGGCGAAGGCAGCCCCCUGGGAUAACACUGACGCUCAUGCACGAAAGCGUGGGGAGCAAACAGGAUUAGAUACC